CAGAACUGCAGUCUUUGCCUGCUUAGGAAUGGAGGAUGAAUGGAGAGUUAACCUGGAGAAGUAACAAAGAAAAGGGUCAUCCACAUCCUUUCGAUGUUUAUCUAAAGAGUUCGAGCCUUUCCCUUGUAUGACAAGUUUUUAAGCCAAGUGAUUCUAUACAAAGAGGAGCGCCAACUCCUCUGAUGACCUGCUGGCAAUGAGCAGAAUUCCAGUGGCUCUCUCUAUUUUUCUUUCCAUGGACCCCUAAGUUUGGAGAGCCAUCCAGGAUUUUGAAAAGGAACCUCUGUCUCCAGAGGACUUGUGGGAUGUGCUGUAGGGGAUGCACACCCAUUGUGGAGAGCUGUUUUAUAUUGGGCAGUUCAGGGCCAGGCUUUGUGAGCUAUGGACCAGCCGAGUAGCUAAAUGAAAAGGAGAUAGAUGUGUCAUAUGUGAAAAUAAAGGACCCAGAGGAUGAAGAUGAACAAUGAACUAACAACAUGGUGUCAGCGACGAACAGUCUGUAAAGAGCAAUGGUGGAAGGCCACAAGAAAAGUUCAGUUCAUCAAAACUGAGAAAGAAUCAGAAACUAAAUGCCAAUGUUUGGUUUUUACAAAGAGGGAAGCAAGCAAGUGUGGUGCUCACUGUUCAUAAUUCUCCUGUUUUGAGUUAAGUGGACUGGACAUCAGAGACCAGCUAUUCAUCAAAGAGAUCCUGGGAAGUUGGCCGUUUUCAUUUUGGGGAAGAUUGUGGCAGGAGAGAAAACAGAGAUAGCUUCCCAGUCAUUUUGUUAUUUUUUUCAAGUGCUUCUCAAAGCAGUGAACAUGGGACAUAAUGGCAUGGACAGAAAGUCUUGAAGAAACAGGAAGUGGGAAACAAUUUUUGCAGACUAGUUUGGUUUUUGUAGUUGGGAAAGAGAUGUUUUGGGUUCUAAGAACAGAAGGAGGCUGUCUCCCUUAUCUCCAACUGGGAGAUCCUAGAGAGAAUGACUAUAUGGUAUGACUGGCCAGCAGGUGAUGGAGAGCCUUCCCCAGACAACUAGACUCAUACUUGUGGCACAGAAACUCCAGAAAGAACACUGAGACUGAAGAUGCUGUAUGAGAAGUAACGUGAACACUUCACCUGUAGUCUGUAUGGCGUCAUGAAUGAGAGCCAUAGGCCAAACUAUGAGAGUUAGAAGUCUAGGGACUGGAUUGGGAGAAGAAAGUAGAAGCUAAAGUUACAUUUUUCCCACCGUAUGUACCAUGAACUCAGAAUUAGAAAUUAGGUUACAUCGCGGGGUGGCCAGCUCCUCACCAGAGAAUUCAUGACUGUUUGGAGGGAUAAGCCUCUAAGAAAUUAAAGUCCAGAAUAAUUCAUGAAGAACGAAAGACAAAGAGUCACAAAAGAUGGUUUUAAAGAUGGAGCCCUGAUAGGUCCAGUCCCCAUGGGAGCUGGAGCUUGAAAACUAGAAAAUUGCUCCUUUGUUUUAUUAGGGGGGACAUCAAAGGCAAGGUAAGGUUUCAGGGAUGGGGUUUGCUUUAUGGUGUCUUGCAGUCAGCAGGUUGAUCAGCAUCUUGGCAGGUCACAUCCAUCUCAGAGGUAAUGUGUGGCUACAGCAGGUCACCCCAUCUCUGGUGCUGUGUGGGACCAGGCAGAGCAGAAUCGGGCUCACAAUGUGUCUGGGAAGUCUUUCAUGGAGGAAAUGUCCACCGAAGUCCCCAAACCAGAUUCUCCUAUUCACUAGGCUGUGAUGUGCGACAGUCCACACAUAGCCCACUGACAGCUCUCAACCAGGUUAACUGAUGGAAAAUAAAUUAACCCUUCUUGCACAUUCAACUUUUGAUCUAAUAUUUAUUUUCAUUACCUGUGGGAUUUUUGUGGGAUUGCUAAACAUCAUAUUACAAUAUAUGAUUGGAUAAAUUAAAACCCCUAACACUGGAGCCAGUGUGCUUUGAGACAAUUGCUGUGUUUGUGUGGGACUUAUUUGAAGUCUUGAGAUGGAUUUAGGAUUUAAUGCUGAAUCCUGAAACUCCUAGGGCCUCUAAUAAUCUCAGUUUGAGAGAUGACAAUAGAAGGAAUUCACAGCUAAGAAGUGGACAUACAGGAGUUUACAGAUGGGAGAAACAGAGGAUCCAGGCAGCCUUGUUAGAACUUUCUGAGAUUAAUUUCUGUUAGUUACAGGAAAAUAACUAGAAAGGGAGGAAAGUGGGAAGUUAAACAUUGGGCCUGUAUCUAUAGAUUCUGCAUUUCAUCAAUAGUACCACAGCAUGGUCCAAUCAGCUUGGUGAGACUAGGGCUCUACCCUGGAGAAAUUUCCACUCAAAAGUGUGAAUUUGACUCCUAAUGAACAUUUUUUAGUGUUUGAAAAUUUACAUGUUUUGUGCUGUGUUUCAGAAUUGAAAGGACCAAAGGCCAUAAAGGAGAAGUGGGAAGUUGAGUUGGUUUCUUACCACCAUGUUCAAAGGGAACCUGACCCAGAUUAUGUAGUUUUUGCGGCCUAAUCCUAAACAAGGUGGUGAGUGGGUAUAGAAGUGUGACAGUUGAAGUUUCCUGGUGACCUUGGGGAUACAGGAGAAACACCCUUGUUUUGGACUGAGAGAAGCUGUGGAGGCAGAGGGACCCACAGCCCCGCCUCCCCGCAGUGGGAGAAGCAGAGAUGAACUCAAUCCUUCCACCAACGUUGUGACUGUAUGCCUAGAAAAACCACACAAACCUGUUUGAAAGAAUAUUUGCUGGAAUUUAUAAGGGUAUUUAUUCAAGUAGAAAAGAUAAACAUGUGCAAUUAAAGAUAUUUUCCUUUUUAACUACAACCAACUAGAACUAGAAAUGGGAGUAAAUAGUGCAUUCAGAAUUGAAAAAAGAACACUUCAUAAUAUAUUUCAUAUGAAUAGUACAGAUACAUAUAAAAAUGAUUUAGUUCUCUGAAGGAUGAAAAAAAUGUUUGAGUUAGUGAAAAGAUGUACUCUAUUCUUGGGUUAGAACACUUAAUAUAAUAAAAUAUUAAUUAGCUCCCCAAUUUUUCAGUUAAAUGACAUUUAGGCAGCAUUAAAAUGGCUCCAAAUAUGAAAAAAUUUUAAUGAUGGGGUCAGAGUAUCUGCCAUUCAAUAUCCUAAAUCCAGAGGAAACUUUAUCAAAACAUUUUGGUAAUAAGAUAGAAAUGGACAAAUAGAAGAAUUGAGGAGUAAAAUAUAAUACUGAGGAAUAGAUCUGACCCACUCAUUGGCAUAUAUCCAAAAAGAUCUAAGGUCAUCCCAUGACAGGGACACAGCCACAUCAAAGUUUACAGCAGCACAAUCCACACUAGCCAGGUUGAGGAACCAGCCUAGAUGCCUCUCAGCAGAUGAAUGGAUUAAGAAAAUGCGAUAUAUGCACACAGUGGAGCUUUACUCACUGUAAAGAGGAAUGAAGUUCUGGUAUUUGCCAGUAAAUGAAUGGAACCGGAGAGGAUCAGGCUAAAUGAAAUAAUCCAGAUCCAUAGAGUCAGGGGUUAACUGUUCUCUGUCAUAUGCAGACUAAAAUAAGGGGAAAAAGGGAAUGCAGAUCCUAUGAAAACAGAAGGAAGAAAAGUGAGUAGAGAUAGGGGAUGGAGGAGAAGGAGGGAGGAGGGACAGAAACUGUGAAGAAUGGUGGAAUGAAACUCACCCAGCUCUCCUGUGUACACGAGGGAGUAUACCAGAGUGAUUUUCACCUUUCUGUACCCACCUAUAAUUCACUAAUAAAAAUCUAUAAUAGAUGGAAGACCAGUAGAGUAGAGGAGGGGGAGCAGGGGAUGAAGAGCAGAGGUAAAGGGGAAAUACUGGGGACUGAUUUGCAGCAAAUUAUACUCCAUGUUUGUAUAAUUAUGUCAAAAUAAACCCCAAUAUUAUGUAUGAUAAUAAUUCAGUAGUAAAAAGAUUAGAAAAGAAAUGGAUCUUGACACAGUGAGAAUUAAUCUGUAUAUUAGAGGUUAUUUCAUAUAACUGCAAAGAAUAAUGAACGGCUGAGCAGUAUCCAGCUAGAAAAUGAAGCAAUGUUGGAAGCGCGGUCCACAUGGAGCUGCCCUGUACCUCCCUCCGCCGUGAUUUCAUUGUAUAUUCUGAGGCCCUGCAGAAAGCGUCUUUGAAGAGGUCAUGGCAAGGUCAGGACUUUCCCUCUGGUCUUGGCCAAUCCUCUAAUGGCAUCGCUGGACUGUGUUUACUCUUGACUUUUACAGGGAAUGUUUCUUGAUGAUUUGGGCUGACAAGCUUUGUAGAAGCUGAUAUGAAGGAGAACAUUGUGGAUUAUGUCCAACUAGAGAAGUAUUUGGAGCAGGGCCACCGGGAGAGCUUGGAGGAGAGAAAAGCACUGGGAAGGCGCCCUUUGCCCUCAAUACACACCACCAGAUACCAGCUUCACCCAGGAGGGCAGUCGGUUCCAAGAAAGCAAAUUCUCUAACUUUAUGGAAAUGCACGUGGUCCACACGAUAAGGACAAACAAAAUUAUUUUCUGGGCACAGCAAGAAUUUAUACAUGGAAUAGAAGCACAUGUAAGAAACUGGACUUCAAAAUGACUGCCCAGAAUUGAAUGAAAGUUUUGCCACUUACUAGGCAUAUGAUUUUGGAUAAAGCCUUCAAGUGCUAAAUUCUUCACCUGUGAGUUAGGAACGAUUAUAGCUACUAUGUCAUAGAAUUACAACAAGAAUUAAAUGUGAUAAUCCAUGACAGUGGUCACUGAGAAGCAUGACUAUUGAUAUCUAAAAUUUUAUGAUCAAGUUAAAAAAGGCAACAUUGGUUAAUUCCAUGGAAAAGGUAAAAAAUAUUUUUAGUAAUUAGAAUAUAUUUAAAAUGAUGAUAACCUAACUCAUUGAAAUGCCUCCACCCCAUUCCUACUCCUCUCUUUGUUCCCUGGUUGGCUGGUGCUUGGGAGCAAAUAAUAGCUUUCACAAUUCAUCUGGGCAGCUCUUUUCUAAGAAUGUUGAUGACUGAAAAUACAGCACUUAAACCUAAGAGCUUAAUGACAAAUGCCUUUAUGAUUCACACGCAUGGAACUCUUCUUCUGUGAAGCUGCAUACAUAUCCUUCAACAGCUUGUUUUCAACAAUGUGUGGCAGAAAAUUUGUUGCAGACACAGCCAACACUGCAUCUGGAGAGAAAAACGUGAAGAAGCCAAAGAGAAAAAUCACAUCCUGAAGAUAAAAGAAAAGAAAGGGGAAAACACUUGUACUGCCGUCCCCAACCUGCUCGGGCAGCUGAACUUAGGGUCGCUCCUGUGAAUUUGCAGGGACACCAAAUAAAACACCGACACAAAUCACCUUUAUGCAAGCUUUAGGACGGCUUCUCCACUCUCGGCCUCAGGGUCCCCAAAAGGGAGAGCGAGAGAAAGUCGCGAGAGAGAGGGAGCACGUUCAGAAGUGGGCUUUUAUGGGUGGAGGACGCUUGUUCUUAGAAAGUUUCAUCCAAAAAAGGCCGCAAGGGGCAGGGUUACAAUGGACAGGUGAGUGUAACUCAACCCCAGGGGUCACGCCUACACCUGAACACACACAAGCUGGGCAACAGCCAAGUCACCAUGUAAUGACUGGCCAGAGCCUCCUCUUCAGGACUGGAGGGUGUGGGUCAUUCAGAGUGGCUCCCCACAUUGUCCUCUUUAUGAAACGCAUUGAGACCAACUUUUGAGCUUUCUAAAGUGUUUAUUUUAAUCUGAGGGCAAAUGAAAUGUAGGUCCUAUGAAAAUGUCCUUUAAAUUUAAGUGAUAGGUUAACAUACUAUAUUGGUUCUUGAUUUAACGUAGGUUGAAUAUUUUGAGAUGCAUUUAUUAACCAAAAUAUUGUUUUUAUGUGAACACUUUUCUUGCCUUCUACCAUUUUCCAUUGGGUUGCAUGUUAGUCUUAUUUAUUUCAGUUGUUUCAACUCUUUUAUGUUGUUUAUCCACCUUAUUUUUAUUCAUUUUUAGAAGCUCUUUACAUAGUAAGGAAAUCAUUGCUUUUAUGUAAAGAGAUUUUAAUGUUAUGUAGUUCAAAUAAUGUCAUGGCAGUUUCUAAAAUAAAAGUCAGGGCAGCAUCCGUA